CCCUGACAGAGACAUUUGAACGGAGGGACUGAUCCGUCCAAGUUUUGUGAAGGUUAGGGACUUAAAACUAUUUUUCAAUGGUCAGGGACAAAAAUGUUUACAGGACAAAAGGUCAGGGAUCUAUUUGUCCUUUUCUCUAAAAAGAGGGUUUAGUUACUAUUUAUAGAAGUUUUUAAUUUUUAGUAAACUAUAAUAAAUAUGUUAAAUAUUUAAACUUUGAAUGUUUUUCUUUUCGUAUAAGUUUUUUUUUUUUAUGACAUGGUAGUUUAAUUUAGUGGUGCCUUCUCUAGACAUAAUCUAUAUGUAUGAAAAUUUUCUUCUUACUGAA